CUGCAGGUGACCGCCAUUCCCCACGCCCACCGCAGGGGGGCAGCACUUCCCAGACACAAGAGCUCUGCUCUGCCUUGGCUGAGAAUUUCAAACUGGCACCAACACCAGGGUGGAGUGGACUCCGUGUGACCUUGGGGCCCACGCACGGAGGUUGUCCCCAUGCCGCGCAGCUGUGCACCCAAGGAGGAGCCCGAAGAGAGAGGAAGUGGGGUGUGCUGGCUGAGAGAUGUCAGCUUCUCCCUUCGGCCACCUGCAAUAGACUAGUGGUCCCCGGACCACUAGUCCUUGAGGGCCCUCUGAGCCCCUCUCUGCUCUCCACUCCUCCUGUGUUCUCUGCUUCCAGGGCCCACCCCCUCCAUGUGAGGACCGAGAUCUUCCUGCAGUCCUCCCGGCCAGCUGCCUUCGUGGCAAGUGGGGCUGUGCAUGGGCCGUCCAACCUCACCAUGAGCUUCUUGUCCCCUUCCAUCCAGAUUGUCCCUGCUGUGGGGAGUUGGUGUGAUCUUGGAAUUCAAGAGGCCUGAAGUCUAGUCCCCACUUGGCCAUAGACGCCAUGCCCUGGAAGCAAGCCCCUGAAUUUCUCGGAAUUUCUUCCCAUGUCCACUGCACAGAACAGCAUUCCUUCCAUCAUCUACACCAUGGAGGUGGCACAGCCUUUGAAAGAAGAGUGCUUGAUGGCACUUAGCAUAUGCCUCAGCAGUGCAGUAAGUGCUUUGCUUGUUCACUGGGUUUAGUUACAGCCAGGUGACCCAGGGCUCCAGGUUAUAACAGCUGCAGCCCCUCCCUGGGUGGCCUCGGCACCACUGUUGUUCUGAGGUUUGGGGUUCAGACUGAGUCACUGCACAUGCUCCUGUCUCGUGCCUUAUGCAAGAAAGAAGAAUAUAGUUCUUUGUACUUUGCUUGGUUUACCCAGCAAUCUUCAUGCCCAAGCCCGG
rnacentral:lncRNA from 1 species